rnacentral:rRNA from 1 species
AGUGAACGCUGGCGGUAGGCCUAACACAUGCAAGUCGAACGGCAGCACAGUAAGAGCUUGCUCUUACUGGUGGCGAGUGGCGGACGGGUGAGGAAUACAUCGGAAUCUACUUUUUCGUGGGGGAUAACGUAGGGAAACUUACGCUAAUACCGCAUACGACCUACGGGUGAAAGCAGGGGAUCUUCGGACCUUGCGCGAUUGAAUGAGCCGAUGUCGGAUUAGCUAGUUGGCGGGGUAAAGGCCCACCAAGGCGACGAUCCGUAGCUGGUCUGAGAGGAUGAUCAGCCACACUGGAACUGAGACACGGUCCAGACUCCUACGGGAGGCAGCAGUGGGGAAUAUUGGACAAUGGGCGCAAGCCUGAUCCAGCCAUACCGCGUGGGUGAAGAAGGCCUUCGGGUUGUAAAGCCCUUUUGUUGGGAAAGAAAAGAAGCAGGUUAAUACCCCGCUGUUCUGACGGUACCCAAAGAAUAAGCAACGGCUAACUUCGUG